rnacentral:rRNA from 1 species
AUUGAACGCUGGCGGCAGGCCUAACACAUGCAAGUCGAGCGGAUGAAGGGAGCUUGCUCCUGGAUUCAGCGGCGGACGGGUGAGUAAUGCCUAGGAAUUUGCCUGGUAGUGGGGGAUAACGUCCGGAAACGGGCGCUAAUACCGCAUACGUCCCGAGGGAGAAAGUGGGGGAUCUUCGGACCUCACGCUAUCAGAUGAGCCUAGGUCGGAUUAGCUAGUUGGUGGGGUAAAGGCCUACCAAGGCGACGAUCCGUAACUGGUCUGGGAGGAUGAUCAGUCACACUGGAACUGAGACACGGUCCAGACUCCUACGGGAGGCAGCAGUGGGGAAUAUUGGACAAUGGGCGAAAGCCUGAUCCAGCCAUGCCGCGUGUGUGAAGAAGGUCUUCGGAUUGUAAAGCACUUUAAGUUGGGAGGAAGGGCAGUAAGUUAAUACCUUGCUGUUUUGACGUUACCAACAGAAUAAGCACCGGCUAACUUCGUG